UUGAAUGAAUGUAGAGUUGGUUGUCGCUGGCCUUUAUCGGCAUGUGCACACCUUCUCUUUCAUCCACACACACCUGUGCACCUGUGAGACGGAGAGCCCUACCCUUUCGCGAGGGUGUUUUCUCCGUCUGCCAAUACAUAAACUCAUAUUUAUAAUUUGAAUGUAAUUGAUGUAACGCAUCUAUAAAC
rnacentral:misc_RNA from 1 species